CCUACGGGUGGCAGCAGUGGGGAAUAUUGCACAAUGGGCGCAAGCCUGAUGCAGCCAUGCCGCGUGUAUGCAGAAGGCCUUCGGGUUGUAAAGUACUUUCAGUCGUGUGGAAGGUGUUAAGGUUAAUAACCUUAGCAAUUGACGUUAGCGACAGAAGAAGCACCGGCUAACUCCGUGCCAGCAGCCGCGGUAAUACGGAGGGUGCGAGCGUUAAUCGGAAUUACUGGGCGUAAAGGGCACGCAGGCGGUUAAUGAAGGGGGAUGUGAAAAGGGGGGGCGAAAGGUGGGAAUGGGAGUGAGGAGUGGAUAGGUAGAGUCAUGUAGAGGGGGGUAGAAUUCCAUGUGUAGCGGUGAAAUGCGUAGAGAGGGGGAGGAAGAACGGUGGCGAAGGCGGCCCCCUGGACAAAGACUGACGCUCAGGUGCGAAAGCGUGGGGAGCAAACAGGAUUAGAUACCCCGGUAGUC
rnacentral:rRNA from 1 species